rnacentral:rRNA from 1 species
UACGUAGGGGCGAGCGUUGUCCGGAAUGAUUGGGCGUAAAGGGCGCGUAGGCGGACUUUUAAGUGAGAUGUGAAAUACCCGGGCUCAACUUGGGUGCUGCAUUUCAAACUGGAAGUCUAGAGUGCAGGAGAGGAGAAUGGAAUUCCUAGUGUAGCGGUGAAAUGCGUAGAGAUUGGGAGGAACACCAGUGGCGAAGGCGACUUACUGGGCCGUAACUGACGUUGAUGCGCGAAAGCGUGGGGAGCGAACAGGAUUAGAUACCCUGGUAGU